UAUUUUUUUUUUUUUCACUCGAACAUAUCAACGACGGAGUUAUUUUCCGAAAUAUUUGUUCGAUGUUAUUCCAUUAAUCGAUCCGUUUUAUGUAGAAAAUAGCUCGAGGCGUUAUAAAUGACUUGCAAAUUAUUGUGCAUACGUAGUUAAUCGUGCGACGAAAUCGUUGCGUUCUAUUGGCAAGCAAAACUUUGCUUCUUUCGAUUACGCGUCGUGGUACAAAGUGUAUACUUGGAAUCUUCUUCUCAUCCUCGCGAAUAUUGUUGUUUAUUAAUCGGUGGUAGAGCGAAACCGAGGAAGGAAUCGUAAAUUGGAAAGAAAGAGGAGGAUUUCAAAGGUGGAAAUAAUAGGAGGAACGAAUCGGUAAUAUAAAUUUGUCGAGCGGGGAACGGCGAACGGACGUCGAAUUAGAAGGUUGUGUCGAUUGGCCGACGCCGCAGGUGGGUAUUUAUGUAGCAUCGGAAGUACCUGUAUCGCGAUCAUUAAUAAAUAACGGCAUUAUGCAAAUGGGCAAUUUGUCUGGAGGCGGUGGGACCGCACGAGCCUUCCCCGGUGUAGUCGUUUUAAAUAUAAAACGAAAGUACAAACGUAACGCGUGGCAAUUUAUUUCGGCCGACUGUCACCGGUGCGGUAGAGCGGUGGCUCACAUUUAUAAUGAGAAGACAAAUGAUGCGUUACGAUGUGUCCGCAUGCCUGUACAACGUGUACGAGCGCAAUGACGACCGACCAUUAAUUUAUCGCCGAACCUCUGCUUCCGUCCGCCACUUUUUCCACCGCCUUUCCUCCUCCUCAUUCUUCCUUCACCCUUUCCCCUUCCUUCUUAAUUCUUCUCAAUCACCGCUCUCUUUCUCCUUUUUUCCAUCUCCUUCUUCCUCUCGAUCAUCAAAUGCUUGCUUUCUCGACGCUCCUUUCUUCCUUCCUUCCUUCCUUCCUUCCUUUCCUCUUUAUUUCUAAUCGAUGAAAACCGAUGAAACGUCCAAUCGGAAAAACCAUCGCGCUACGAGGAUAAAUGUUUACGAAGGAUUUUGUAACACGUAUGACGCAUAGCGCGAAAUGAGUGAUGGAGCCACGAGUUUUUCCUCGCGAUACCAUCGACGCUAUCCGUCCACCGCGACAACUAUAUCCAACAAUAAUGGUAAAUAACGUUCGAUAAAUCUCUUUGUGACAUUUUCACCAUUAAUGGCCGUAUGUAAUACGUCAACGUUCCCGACUAUAAAUAUACACAAUAAUAAAUACACACAGGGACGAGAGAGCGGACGUAUCGUACGAGGUAAAUAACUAUUUACCUAAAAUUCUUCGAAACGGUUAUACACGCAAUUAUUAUCAAAUUCGAAAAUAUUAUCAUUUCGUCGGUCGAACGGACGAAUCGUAUUGGAUAUUAGAUACAGUCGUUUUCGUCUCGCGAACGUGUACGCAGCUCCGAUCCGGGACUUACCGUUAUCCCAGGUAGGUUAGUUCCCUUGUUAUUCGCAGUUUACCGCGCUAACUUUACGCGUGUGACAAUUCCCAACUUAUACUACGAACCACGCAUCGUGAUAUCGCGUUGUAAUCAUAAUUUAUAUUUACGGAAACACAUUAAAUGUAUAUAUAUAUUAUUCCAUUCGCGAAUAAAUCGUCGCGUGUUUUACAGCGACAGGUGUAUGAAUACGUAUCGGUGUAGCGUUGUGUAAAGUACUCGCGAUCGAUUGUUUCGAAAAGAAUUUCCGAAAGCGUUUCGACGUUUUCGACUCGAAGUAAAAAGUAAAAGGAGGGAGGAUCGAAACGGUGUAUAAAGAAAUAACGAAGCGCGUUACGUAAUAUCUCUCGAUCUUUAUCUUUCGGUUAAAUACAUCGGUGGUGCAAUUAUGUUGGUAGAAACGACGUCAACGUCACGGAAGCCGAUGAUUAAUAGAUGUUAAUAACAGAUAUAUAUAUAUACGAGAAAGUUGGCGUGCUUGAUGAAGAUUUUCGAGAGAAAAAGACCACGGCGAAAAUGAAUUACCGCUUUUAACACGUAUCGGACAAGUGGGUAUAUCAUUACGAAUCGUGUAAUACGAGACAAACUAUCUUACCGUCCUUUAAGAAUUAAUAGAGCGUGUACGAUAUAAGACGAUACAAGUCACGUGGAAUACGAACGAUGCAAAACGAUAUAUAUAUAUAUAUUAACGAGAUGCAAAGGCUGGUUUUAAUUAAAAAUUAACCGCGCGCGUAUCGUAUAUAUUAUUACACGUAUUAUCUUUAUUCGUUAACGUCCAAUUACCGGGGAUACCUCUCUUUGAUCAAACCUCGUACGAACGAAACGUGGAUCGACGAUGGUACGAAGAAUCUUUUCCGUCGAUUUUCCACGAUCUAGUAGUCCGCGUUACUCGCGAUUCCCCACGAUAAAUCGCGCGAACAACGUUACUUACGCGCGUGUGAACGAUUAAAGCGAGAGGAGAGGAGAUUACGAGAGGAUUGUCGAUUCGUUGAAAAACAAGCGAAAGGAAAAAAAGGAAACAAACGAAAGGACGAAGAGGAAGAGGAAAAAUAGGUUUGUGAGAAAGGAAAAAAAAGGGAAAAAAGCAGCUAUCUAACUAUGCCUAAUUACGAAGAUUUCAUCGCGGAUAAUAGAUGGAUAUUCGAAGUGAUUUAACGAUAGAUAAAUACGAAGGAAAAGUGGCGUACGGUUAAUAAUCGAGUAAACAUUUAAUUUCGAUAUACACCGAGAGUGGUAAAUCUAAAAUGACGUAGUAUCAUUGGUAAUGCGUGACUCGUAGAAAUCAAUCGUGAGUGAUUUAGAUGAAUUUUAUACCGACGUCAAACACUUAUUUCACGUGUGUCAGGCAUAAUAAUUAAUUACUCGAAUCGACAUGCAUUAAGAAAGCAUGGUAUUGAGUCGCUCAUUAAGUAUGCAUCGUCCGACGUUUGCCUGUAAGGAACUGUGGACCUUCGGACGGUAACGGUUGCCAACGCUGCAGAACUGGUGGAUUGCACGUACUGAAAGGUUACCGGCAAUAAAAUACUCCGUGUCUAAAGGCUAUUAAUGUCUCGGUGCAACGCCAAGCAUCGUUUCCAUCGACACUUUAUUUCUAUGCGUACUCGCGUCAAAGAACCGAAGCCUUUCUACCGUAGUCUUGUAGCAUUAGUCACUGACUGAUUGCCGGUUUUACGGGGAAGCAUUUCAAAACCUUGCGGGAAAUAACCUGUGUGCGUAGAAAUAUUCUCCACCUUUUCUUACGGACUCACCGCUCCACGGUAUUCUCAUUAACAAGUAAGAAACUGACAUUUUUCUUCUUCUUCUUCUUCUUCUUCUUUCUUUCUUUCCUUCUUUCAUCGAUUCUUGCCAACAAUCGUUAUUAUUAGAGGGCGAAAAUGCAGAAGCGGAUCAAAAAAUCGAGACAUUUAUCCACGAGACAUUUUCCGUGACGAUUUUCCAUUAUAUUUUCGUUUCUCGCGCCGUAACGUGGUAAUAAUACAACGAUACACCGAGUAUUCGUAUUCUUCUCGAGCUUUUAUAAAUAUAUUAAGAUAUAGUCGGUGAAAGAAGAAGGAUACGUUCUUCGACUUCACUUUCACCUACCUACCUACCUACCUACCUACCUACCUACCUACCUACCUACCUACCUACCUACCUAUCUACCUACCUACCUACCUACCAUCGUUCCACGUGAUAUACGAUACUAAAUGUUUCUUAGAACCGUACGCGAUCAACGAAAGCAUAAUACAGCUAUUUGUAAUUUACGAUGAUUGCUUGGAGCGGUUUGACGGGUAACGUUAUUUCAAGUUUACGAUAGCUGUAAUACAAAAGAUAAUAAUUAGAGAAGGCGAUUAUACAACUUGAUAAUCUAUAAAGAAGCGUGAAAAAUAGUAAUAAAAAAAAGAAGAAGAAGGAAAAAAGAAAGAAAGAAAAAGCGGCAGGGAUAAAGAUAGAGAGGCGCGAAGAGAGGAGGAGGAGGGAAAUAUCGUCGUCGAGUUAGAAUACCAGGUGGUGGAAAGCCGGAGAGAGAGAGAGAGAGAGAGAGAGACAGCUUUUCGCGGUGGUGUUAAGCUUUUACUCGUCGCGUAAAGUCGGUUGAGCGAUUCAUAAAGCGAAAUGGACUCCUUUGCGGAGAAAAACAAUUUCCGGCAAAACAGGGAAUUAAGUACUUAUCUUUACGAGCGGCCGUACAAUUUUCUGAAAGAAGAUACGCCCGCCACCCUCGCAGGCGUCUACCACUCGGAAAAAUUUAUCGCGAUCUCGAUACUGCGUUUCGAGCGUGAGGACUUCUAUCGUUUGCACUUUCUUGGCUCGAGUUAUAUUUCUCGUCGCGGACGCGAAGAGAAAACGUGGCGGUGGCGUGAUAAGGAUAAAGGGGGGGAGGACAGAUCCUUUCGAUUCUUUUUUUCGAUCUCGUCUCGAUUUUUUUUUCUAACCGACGGAUAUUUUUCUAUUCGCGACGCGGAAUAAAAGAGAGGAGAGGAAGACGUAAUGAUCGAAGCUUUGCCAAUUUUCGUUUAAUUCUCUGAAAUAACGAUAGCAAAGAAUGAUGUGACCCAACUUUGCAUCGGAUCGUUACACAUUUGUAACGCAUUUGUGUCUAUCGUGUCGCAUCGUUCGAGAUUUUAUAAAAUAUAUAUUUUUUAUCGGCUAAUGUAUAAAAGUGACACUUUGGACGGUACGAUCCCACGUUUAACGCAUUACUCAGUCGCCGACAAUAAGUGGCAUGUCAGCGAACGUAAUGGCCAUUAUAUCCUAUUAAUAGGCCAUUACAUAGGCACACUUGGAUUUCAUGAAUGUGAUUAAUGGAGAGAAAUGAACGCUAAGCUAACCGUACAUCGAUCCUUGCAUAUAAUGUUCGCGUUGUCACGUUAACAAAUGCCCAUUAUUUAUCGCGACCUAUAAACAGUUAACUGUCAUAUUUGGGUCAUUUGCAUUAAUGCGUCCCACAAAUUGCAUCUUAUAUUUCAUCAUAAUCGCGCACGUAACGUAACGUAACGUAAUAACAAAUGGAUAAUUUUCAAACGCCUCGCCGUUGUUUCGAAACGUGGCAAUAUAAAUACGUUUCGGGGUUCGAUUUAUUUUUAUUCGCUCGUCAUUUUCGCUAUAAAUUCCCUCCUCCCCUUUCUUUCCUUCAUUCCUUCUUCAAAGAACGAACAAUCGAUUAAUUUUAUUCGAUGGCGUGGCACGCGCGAGAAGGAAACGAAAGGGAUUUUCGUCGAUCUCGAGGAGACUUUAAGUGGAAAUAGGAAUGGAGGUUUAUAACAACGGAUAACGCGAAUAAAGGUGAAAUCGUUGGAGACGUAGAGGGUAAGGUAAGGCGAUAGGAUGCGUUGCACGAACCAGUUGGCCGGAAUAAACGCAGCGGUGGCAUAGCAUUGGCGCGCAGCCAGAGCACCUAUCCGCGUAAGCAUUCGUCUUUUCAUCGCGACGCACCUCGAUCGAGCCGAACAGAUUGAUGCGCGGCUUAAAACGCGUCGACGACUGAUCCGGAUGAUUGGAAUGCCCCUAAUGUGUAACAUGAUUGAAAUUUUCACGCUCUAAAUCGCUGCCAAACGGUUGCCAGUUGUUUCGAUUCGAUCGCGCGAUAUCCGUGAGACGAAAAUAAAUCACGUAUCGCUGAUCCCGCCAGUGAUUCGUCUGUCGACACCCUACUUCGAGGAAGGGGGAAGAAAGUUUGGAAAUUUUGGAAAAACACGAAAAACAAAGAUUCCUCGUACGAUUACGUGAUGGUUGGAUUCGUUGGAUGCGACGACGAGAGGUGGAUGCGAUAACAAUUUUCACGAUACACGGUGGACAGGUUUAUAUCGUUCGGUUGACGAAAACGGGAGAGCGAAGGGGAGGAGAGAGAAAAAGAUUAUCGGGAUAAACGUAUUCUUCGAGUAAAUACGGUGGCCUCGUCGAAACGUUUUCAGGCACCCUAUAAAUUCUAAUUUAAAAUCAGUGUCGCAACAAAAGGUCCUCGAAAGCGGCACACCAUUUCUCAGAGUGUUCCUCGCAUAGCUCAUUCGUUUUAUCGUCUUGAACGGCACGAGCGUCACUCCGACACCGUGAUAAACAGCCGCUUCUGUCGUAAGUCGAGUCACCGUAAAAUCUUAGGCAUUACUUGUCGUGGUGUUUACCAAGUCGGAAUGACUUGACAAGGUGAAUAUAGUUAGCGCUAGAUCUUCGUCCCUGGUUCGCUUAUUCGGCAUCCGCUGACAUUUAUCAUCGUUCCAACCUGUGAUUCAAAAGAUUGAAUAAUUACGACAUUUAUACAUACGAUUUAACAAAUGUCGCCAACGUGAAACGAUUCUACCGAUUGGAAUAAAGUAUAGCGAGGCGACAACGAAGCUUUCCCUCUUGUUACUCUCUCCUUCUUUUCUCGCUUACCCGUCCGUCCUAAUCAACGUAAUUAAAUCCGAACUUUUGUCCACUUUACAUACAUUCGUCGUUUCGAUCUAGGCUAAUUCGGGCGAAUCCGAAUUUUGAAAAUGCUCGAUCCGACGGUAAAGCGGCGACGGCACGCAACGGCGGCGCGUUUUCAGCCAACGACCGCUCGUCUUUUCGUUGUCGGAGCGAGGAGGGGAUAAGUAUCGCGCGGCUUCUCGCCGCGGUGAUGAAGUGAGUGCGGAGUGAGGCCUAUUUUUGUGCUCACCGACAAACAGCCUCGUAGAUCUCGCGACACACGGUUUAAACGCGCGCCACCAAAAUAUCCUUCGCGCGGACCGAAAAGUAUCCAUCCGAUUUCGAUCGUCUUCCGAUCGUUUACCGAUCGUUGAUACGUUACUCGCGUUCCGAGUGUUCUCGAAAGAGGAGAGAGGAGGAGGAGGAAGAAGAAAAAGAGAAUAUUCCGAAUAUAUUUUUCCAUCCCGACCGCUAAAUACCACGGUGGUUCUCUAACUCGAACCAUCAGCCAGUCACGCAUCGUUACUUACAGCGAAUAAAAUUAAGCUAACGAUGUACUUGGUCGUAAACUCUCUGGGUUAUUAACUCUAGCUUGCCGUAGAUUAUAUCGUGGAAUUUAUUUAGUACCGUUAAUACACUACGAGGUCACGUAUCGACCAAGUUGAAAAGGGAAAGAAAAUCUGACAGGAAGGGAAGCGUAGACUAGAAAAUAUAUAGCGUGUACCGUACAUAAAUUGUCAUCUUUAGCAAUCGUAAGAUUUACGGCCAUCUAACGAUUCGCGCUGGUAUAAAAAUAUACAUAUUUAAUACGAGCAAAAACUCGACUCGUGAUUCCUACGACGUAUCAAUUUAUUUUUAUUGGAAAAAUUGAUAUGCUAAAGAGUUAAAGGAUAGAUUUAGUUGUCGUUCGGAGAGGAAAAGCUCUCCAACUCGAGAAGAAUGGGACGAGGAAACGAAACGAUGAUUAUUUAUUCAUCGACAUUCCCUUUAUCUUCUUCUCCUACCUACAAGAUCUUCCCGAGUUUUUCGCUUCCACUUCUUCCUUCCUUCCUUCCUCCUUUCCCUCCUCGCAACGUUACAACAACGUUGGAAGAUACUCGUUGGAUGAAAUUAUGGCCAACAGCUGCGCGUUUUUUUCCCUUUCUCUUUUUUUUGCUUUUUCUUCUUUCUUUCCGAUCGUUUGGUUUUCAGAGUGAAAAUUAUCGCGUACCACGUAGAUAUUUACACGUACGAUAUAGGCAUAUAACCUGGUGUCAGAAGGGGGCUUAUACGUGUAUAUUUUCCAGGACUAAGUGGCGAGGAACUAACGAUAAACACGACUGUUGGCGGCUAUAAGGGGAAAUUAAUGUUCCGGACGUAACGAGACCACCAUGAAAAAAAAUAUUUAUUCGCGCAAAGUACAAGGGUACUUGCGUACCGGAGACGCCAAGUAGUCUCGUUUUAUCCUGUUUUCCCAAUUACGACGAACAUAGACAAUGACGAUGAUCAGCGAAAGACGAGAAGGCUGGAGAAAGAGAACGCGCGAAGAAAAAAAUUGGAAUGGAUGUCGCGUUAUUCGCUUCACCGGGUUCAAAGAAGAUAUCUCCACCUCGGAAUGACUGCCGAGCAUGUAUCCGCGAGAGGAACUCGACACACAUAUAUAUAUAUAAUGAACAAAUACACGAAAUUCUUAUUUUCUCUUUUUUGCCGAUUACGAACGAUGGCGGACGUAGACAAUGACAGCUAACGAAAGACGAGGAGAGGGAUCGAAAGCUCGAGCGGUGGACGAAGAAAAAAAACUUAAAUGGCCGUGUUUCGGUGUCGCAUUAGUCGGUUGGCUGGGUCCGAGGGAGAUAUCGGAGUCGAAGCGGCGAGAAUACUCGCUCUUCGAGCCUGUAUACCUGCGAGAACAAUUUGUGGACUGUACCCACGUAUAUAAGGAGAGAUAAGGAAAGAAGGAAAUAUUCGUUCGUUUUCGGAACGCAAAGUCGAAGGACGGGACGGUAAUGGAUGGAAAAAACGCGUAUGCGCGUUUUGAUCGAUGAAAUUAAAGGAAGGCUCGAAAAGCGUGGAUCGAUUAUUAUACCGGUUGUGGAUACAACGCCGCGACAACUGUUAAACGUGGAAGAGAGACGUAAGCGGAAUCGGUAGGAAAAGGAGCCGCGUGAAAAAUGGUUAAUGCUAUCCCAUUAAGAAGAAGGCUGCGAUAUACGACUCGUGCAACAUUAUCGACCGUUCCAGCGGAACGACGCUUGCCUCUUUCACGGUAACCAUCGCGAGUCGACUCGGUUGAUCGCUAUGCCACUGUCGUAUUAUGUAAAUUCCCGACAUCGGCUCUGACCCCGCGAUUAGUUAUUCGCGUAAAGUUUCCUAAAGAUUUCUUGGUGUCUUUCCCCCCUCGAAUUCUUCACGGUCCCCGUCACCUCUCCCUCCCACCGUACACAUUUUCGACUUUCCACCGGACGAUAACCGGACGAAGAAAGAUAAUCGUAACGAUUAUCGGUCCGAUAUAAAAUCGAUGAUCGACGAAGAGAGAAGGACGAAACGAGGGAAGAUGGCAGGGAGGGAAAGAAGCAGAAGCAGCUCGGAGGUGAUCCUUUACGCCGUUUCCAACGAGCUGUCCGACGAUCGAGAAGAUGAACGCGCAUAGUCAAUACCGAGUCAACGUCCAGAAACGUGUGGACGUACGUCGUGGAAGAGGAGAGAGGAGGCUGGGGGGGGAUAACGAGCGGAGAAGGAAGGGAGAUGGAAGUGAGGUCGAAUAACAGGGUACGCUCCGAUCAACAUUAAUCACUAUCCGAAGCGAGUAGAUAGCCGUCGAAUGCUCGCUUUCUAAAGCAAGGUGAAGGGGUGGCUGAUAGAUGGAGGUGAUGAAUGGCUCCGUGACGGGGAGCGAUCCAUCAUCUCGGGGCCGACAUCACGGGAGCUGCCUACCGCGAGAGCUAGCAGGAGAGAUUUCGCGCGAGAGGUCACCUCGGCUAAUUCAUCAUCCGGUCCGUCGCACCCCCCACCCUCGCCGCUUAGCGCACACUUCAACCCUCUCCUCCGUUUUUCACCCACUUUUCCCCACCUACCCUUUCUCACCCCUUUGUUUUCCUCGCUUUUCCUCGGCCAGCCGGAAUCUCACGCGUCGUUAAAUCCCAAGAAAAUCCGACUCGAUCUCGAGCCGAUCCGAGUCUUCCUUUUCCCCUCGGAAUUAAAAAUUUCGGGAUCGUACGCGAUGAAAAAUAAGGGGAAAAAUAUUUCCCGCUUUGUUAUCUUUCGGCCGAUAUUUCUUCGUCGACGAGACGGACGUCGUCUUCUCGACUCCGGCCGAUGAUCGAUGGAAAUAACGCGGUAGCCGUCUAACGUUUGCCGUGAAAUGGACGCAACGCGAUAAUCUGUUUCGCGAUAAACGAAAUUAAUUUUUUCUUUAACGAAGAUCGUAUCGAAGUCAAAGAUUGGUGAACGAGAAACGAGAAACAGGAGAGAAAAAGAAAACGCGUGGAAGACGAUCGAGGAAAGUUGUCGCUACUAUACGAAAUGGUUGGAGAGGUCGCAUCGAGGAAAUUAAAUACACGCGAGCGGUGGGUGGCGGCCGUGCUGGGUGUAAAUGGAGGUAAGAAGGAGGGACGAUGCAUCAUCGCGCAACGGCUUGGCUACGCUGCGGGAGGCGACGGAUAGUUGGGAUAUCUGCGUCUACGAUAAUAACUAACAACGAAAGAACGGACCGAGACGCGUUCGAUCGCGUAUUAAUUGGCGAUCGAUGCGCGAGGAGGAAGAUUGUUGGAUGGAAUGGGAGGGUAAAUCGGGAUCGCGAUGAAAAAUGGAGGAUGGAAAAGAGGGAAACUCGAUUUUUACGCGCGGGCAACGUUUCGCCCAUCGAUUUCGUCUUUCUGGCAAUUUCUGGCCAAGGGUGGGGAUCGAAGCUGUAGCUUAUAGAUGAAUUAUAGUUGCUCUUUGCUGUCGCGCGUUCAGCGGUGAUGUAUGACUCGGCGGGAGAUGGUAGGUAGAAAACAUCCACGAUGUACGGCCUGUUAAUAACAGCAAGAAUGAACGAACGGCUGCACAACGCGGUACACAGAUGCCGCUGGCGGCUAGACCCCCUUUGUGUUUUAUUACAAACGAUACGUCAGCCACGAUGUAUGGGCUGCUUUUAUCUGCGGCCUGUUAUUGAUGUGCUAAAUUGUCCGCUCUGACUCGUAAGACUGGCCAGGACUGGUUGAUUCCACGUCAUUCGAGGACGCGCUCUCGAUGACAAAAAGAUCCGGUCGACCGUUCCUUUCCUUUCCCUCGCCAAAAUUUCCAUCGGCUUUCGCACGCCCGUCCCGUCCUCGCCAAAAUCCGAGAACCGAUCCUCUCAGAAUUUGGCAGAAUUGCUCUUUCCCUCGCGGGUGAAAAGGAGCGAUCGAGUUAAGGAGAGGAGAAACUCGCGUUCCGCGAAUAACCGGUAAUAAAUCGUUCGUCACCUUUAUCCGUGCCUCGUUGUACAACGCGAGUACAACGUUCCCGUUUUUCCCAAUUAUCAAGAUAAACCUGAAUAGAAUAACAAAAAAGACACGCCGAGCAAAAGAGAAUACGCAUUAAGUAUGUACAAUGUGCGCUGUAACUUACAAAGUAGUUGAUAAAUUGCCAUCUGUCGCGUUUACGUUUUGAAAAACUGGCUGGGAUGGAUUUACAAUCUCGUACGAUUGCGAGAGAGAGAGAGAGAGAGAGAGAGGGAAAAUAGUUAUUGCAGGCAUGACUUACUACUCGUUCUUGGGGAAAAAGUGGGAAAAUUAUUACGCCUCGAUAACGAGAAGUAACGCGUCAUGCAUUAUCCCAUUACUUUCAUUGACGUUGCGAUUUUGCGCGACCGAAUAAAAGCUGUAAUAUCGAUGACAAUAAUUUUUGAAAACUUUUCAAAAGUUAAAAAGUGACGUGAUGUUUGGAGAGCGAGAGAAAGAGAGAGAGAGAGAGAGAGAGAGAGAGAAAAAGACAAUUCGUACGAUCGGUGUAAAGUUGAAGUUCAAAUUAUCAAAGAAAACGUGAAGAAGAGGAAAAAGUUUGCGUAUUUUUUUUUUUUUCUUUCAAUUUAUUCGCACAAGUAUGAAUACAUUUCUACGUUGUUACAUAAGUUUCUUCAGCCUCGAACAUUUCAUUCAUUAGGCCAAUUGUUGAAAAUUUUUUUUCUUAGUUAAACUCUUAAACGCUACUCGUUACAUGAUAAAUAAAAAUAAUUACCUAUCGUGGAUUAUUAGCUUCCGCAAGCUUUCUUCUAUUUUAUACUCUUAUUAUACAUAUACUCGCAUACCAAGUCGGAAACAUACUUUAUUUACGCGCAACAAUAUCUGUACAUCUUAUACAUCUCGUAUAUAUAUAUAUAUAUAUAUAUAUAUAUACAUAUUUAAUAAUAUCGAUUUCCUUAAAUAGCUAAGAACUUGUUGGCAGACUUUUGACCGAGAAAGAGGAUGGAGGGGGAGGCAUAGAGCGACCAGCAACGUACGAACGAACGAUCGAUCGAUCGACGCGCGUGUAAAAUACCCUAGUUUGGACGAGUACUCGCUAAUUGAGAUUCAACGAUGCACGUAAUGGUGGCGAAAUAACACGAAUUCCAAUCCGUGAAACGCGGAUGGGGGAACGCGAAAUACGAGGAAACUAUUCAUUCCGACGGUUAAAAUCACCGAAUAUUUCAGUUAUUUCGCGGAGCGGGCUUCGCCCGCCGCAACGAGCACGCUGUCGCGGCGCCCUGGCCACGGAGAAACCAACGGCUCCGAGAGGGUAGGGCCCCCCUCCUCCGCGUGGGUCUCGAAGCCACCCACACCGUCCCCUCCCCUCCCUCUUCCCGACGCUAGGCUGCGGAUUUAUGCGCUCCGCCUUGCACCGCUGAUACCCGAGAACUCGCGACUUGCUCCGUCCGUAAUGAAAGAAAUAAAUUUACUCUCCUCUCCUAGGUUAUCCCGGGGAUCGAGCACCCUGGUGGCGCGAAUCGGAACCCUAGAUAUCCCGCCACCCUCCUCUCCCUCUCUCUCCCUCUCUCUCUCUCGCCUAUUCUCGUUAACGAACGCACGUACGCGACGACGAUACGAACGAGAGCUCAAAACUUCCGAUAAUUUCGGAAAAAGAGGAAAGAAAACGUUUCUACGUUUCUACGUUUGCGAGUUGAAACGAGGAAGCAAAAGUUUCUACCCGUCGUAAGAAAUCGUAGAUAGACAGGGGAGAAGACCAAGUGUUUUUUGUUGAUCGGGAAAAAGAAGAAGAAAGAAAGAGAAAGAAAGAAAGAACAAAAUAUUCGACGAGUUUCACACGAGUAUCGAGGGAGAAAUUGACAGUGCAAAAGUAUCAAUGAAAAGACAAAUUUAAUGAUUUCACAAACAUUAUUUUUAUUAAAGCGGUAUGGAAACUCAACGAUAUUUACAAGAGAUAUUUACAGUGCAAAUAAUGCGUUUUUUUUAUCGUACAUUCACGUUCCUUCUUCGAUCGGAAGAGUAGUUUUUUUUAGAAUAAAAAAGAGAAAAAAAAAAAAGAAAGGAAUCAAAA